UACGUGGGGUGCAAGCGUUGUCCGGAAUUAUUGGGCGUAAAGAGCUCGUAGGCGGUUUGUCGCGUCUGCUGUGAAAACCCGAGGCUCAACCUCGGGCCUGCAGUGGGUACGGGCAGACUAGAGUGCGGUAGGGGAGACUGGAAUUCCUGGUGUAGCGGUGAAAUGCGCAGAUAUCAGGAGGAACACCGGUGGCGAAGGCGGGUCUCUGG
rnacentral:rRNA from 1 species